CCCUUCUCUUCCCAUGGGGGCUGUGCACAGGCUUGGAGCGAGCUGGUAAAGUUCGGGUGCUGCAGUUACUCUCCUCUUCCAAAUCAUUUUGUUUUCUGAGAUCACAGCCACAGUCUAAGGGCAAGAUUGUCAGCUGCUGUAAAUCAAAGCACUCCCAGCCAAGUUGCUUCGGUGCUGCCGAGUUCCUCCAGCUGAGGAUGCCGUCCCCAAAGCAGGGCCCUCCAGAACUCAUCUGCCGCAGCUUCACGCUUCUUCUGUGAAGUUUCUCCACGGCCCGUGCAUUGAAGUCGCUUCUGCAACCGGAAUUCAUUGCUUUGCCUGGGGAAAUACGCAAAAAGAACUGGUAAACGCUUUUAACCAAGGCCUUGUUCACACAAAAAUACCUCGUGGUAGAUGUAAGGAGGGAGAUGUGAUGGGAACUACCAUGCCUAUCACCAGAAUCUGAUCCCACCGGGAAGCUUCACACGGAGAUACCAAUUGGCACUUGACUCUGGAAAUGAUUUUAUGGUGAUAAGAUCCACGUUGAUAUCAAAAUAUAAAAGGAUGCCUUCCAUAUUUAGACAGCAAGAGAAGGGACUGGGCUGGAGAUCUGGAAAAGCCUUCAGGUUUUCCCUGCGGCUGUCGCGGUGCUGGUGUCCUCAGAGGGAUUUGGUCCCUCGUGUUAGCUCCAGGUCCACACUGAAACCCUGGCAAGAUGGUGCUGCUUACCCGUAACUCAUUUGCUGCAAAUGUUUUAAGUUCUAAUUAAAAAGUAAAACACGUU